ensembl:lncRNA
CUGUGCUUUUCUCAUGGAAAGUGAAUGGGAAAAUGCAUGCGUAAGCCAAGGGGUUUUGCUCAGCUGAGAGCUCUGCAGCUGUCCUGCUAGGAAAUGAACACGACACAGGGCAGAGAGCUGUACAAGAGCUCAGGGGCCCCUCGUAUCUCGAAGGAAGGGGAAACAGAGGUCAACAGCUCUGGCCAGUCUUGCACUUCCCCAGGGCUACAGCUCUGCAAAUCAGAUUGCUGCAGGGAGAACAUUUUUUGGAGCUGACACUUCACUACCAGGCCAAAGAUGGGAAGCCCGAUACCCGGACCAAGGUUUUUCAGCCAGAGCACUGGCCCAAGACAUCGCAGCACGAAUUUUACAAGUUCUCAUGUUUGGGACAAGUACUGUGAUUUAUCCACACUACAAUGUCUUUCUUCAACAGCCAAGCAGAGUACAGUACAACACAGUGUCACCACAGCAUCAGCACACUGGAAUGCUGAAUUUAUUUGCACAAGAAUGUUCCAGGCAGAAGCUUUCCAAUGAAAGAGACAGCGUAAUUUUGGGGGUAACCCUUACUGGAACAGAGCUCCUCGUUCAGUGUCAAGAGAAAGUGACAUUUCUGAUUCUGACAGGACUCUUGACUGUAAAAACACAGGCUGGAGCAAGUGGCAGAGGCAAGCUGAGCUGCUUUGAGGAAAUACUGCAAUGCUUUCUUACAGAUGCAACUAACUGGCUGGUGGGACACCAGUGGGACCACCCUGAGAUCUCAGCAACAUUUUCCCGACCAGUGCUACCAAUGAAUGUAGCCUUGUAUUUCUUACUGGAGGUCAGAGAAAGAAUGGGAAUAAGUUAAACACCCAGAACUCCUGCAUGGUGGCGUGGAAGCAUACCAGAGGUACUGCACUUGAUGUACUUGUGGCUCCCAAACCACCUCUCAGAGCACCCUCACUAAUACACUUACUUCAGCUAGAAAUUUCCUCUUCCGUGAGUAGCCCUUCAGUUCCAGCAGGUCAUUACAAAACCUCUUUGGCACCAGAACUGCUGUGAUGCACUGCAAAUCCAUGGACUCCUUUCGGGCAGAUGUCUACGGCAUCACAGUCUCAGCUCAGGUUUAACAUUGCUGCUGAUGCUUCUAUAUUGUUCCUAGUGAAUGUAGCAGCCCUUUGGGCUUCAUUUAGAUUCUGAAUGGUUUAUAGGGAGGUAAAUAUUUUUACGUGCCCCAAGAGCAGACAGUGCAGAGAUCCAUGAGAAAAACAAACGAACAAACCAACACCGAAUUCCACAAGCGCACACUAGACAUGGUUACAUGAUUAAUAUACAUAAAAACAGUACAUAGGGCCUGUAUGGUAGGGUCUUUAGAAGGUAACUGUCUAUCAGAAAGACCUUUGUUUUCAUAGGCUUUAGUAUGUUUAUUUUUUCUAAGAAAUAAGCAAAAUUAUAGUAAUCAAUCUAAAGUAUUUUUUCACACACCUCCAAAAUAGUAGUGCUUUUUUUUUUUUUAAUCAAUU